UAACGCGAAGAACCUUACCAAGGCUUGACAUACACCGGAAACGGCCAGAGAUGGUCGCCCCCUUGUGGUCGGUGUACAGGUGGUGCAUGGUUGUCGUCAGCUCGUGUCGUGAGAUGUUGGGUUAAGUCCCGCAACGAGCGCAACCCUCGUUCUAUGUUGCCAGCGCGUUAUGGCGGGGACUCAUAGGAGACUGCCGGGGUCAACUCGGAGGAAGGUGGGGAUGACGUCAAAUCAUCAUGCCCCUUAUGACCUGGGCUACACACGUGCUACAAUGGACGGUACAACGAGUCGCGAAACCGCGAGGUCAAGCUAAUCUCUUAAAGCCGUUCUCAGUUCGGAUUGUAGGCUGCAACUCGCCUACAUGAAGUUGGAAUCGCUAGUAAUCGUGGAUCAGC
rnacentral:rRNA from 1 species